rnacentral:rRNA from 1 species
CCUCCCACCCGUGUUGCCCGAACCUAUGUUGCCUCGGCGGGCCCCGCGCCCGCCGACGGCCCCCCUGAACGCUGUCUGAAGUUGCAGUCUGAGACCUAUAACGAAAUUAGUUAAAACUUUCAACAACGGAUCUCUUGGUUCCGGCAUCGAUGAAGAACGCAGCGAAAUGCGAUAACUAAUGUGAAUUGCAGAAUUCAGUGAAUCAUCGAGUCUUUGAACGCACAUUGCGCCCUCUGGUAUUCCGGAGGGCAUGCCUGUCCGAGCGUCAUUGCUGCCCUCAAGCCCGGCUUGUGUGUUGGGCCCCGUCCCCCCCGCCGGGGGGACGGGCCCGAAAGGCAGCGGCGGCACCGCGUCCGGUCCUCGAGCGUAUGGGGCUUCGUCACCCGCUCUAGUAGGCCCGGCCGGCGCCAGCCGACCCCCAACCUUUAAUUAUCUCAGGUUGACCUCGGAUCAGGUAGGGAUACCCGCUGAACUUAAGCAUAUCA